UCGGGUAUGGUGUAACGGCUAACAUUGCCGCCUCUCAUCGAGUGAUCGCGGCAGCUCGGGGUUCGAUUCCCCGUACCCGAA
rnacentral:tRNA from 1 species